rnacentral:rRNA from 1 species
GACGAACGCUGGCGGCGUGCUUAACACAUGCAAGUCGAACGGAAAGGCCCUGCUUUCGUGGGGUGCUCGAGUGGCGAACGGGUGAGUAACACGUGAGUAACCUGCCCUUGACUUUGGGAUAACUUCAGGAAACUGGGGCUAAUACCGGAUAGGAGCUCCUGCUGCAUGGUGGGGGUUGGAAAGUUUCGGCGGUUGGGGAUGGACUCGCGGCUUAUCAGCUUGUUGGUGGGGUAGUGGCUUACCAAGGCUUUGACGGGUAGCCGGCCUGAGAGGGUGACCGGCCACAUUGGGACUACGAUACGGCCCAGACUCCUACGGGGGGCAGCAGUGGGGAAUAUUGCACAGUGGGCGGAAGCCUGAUGCAGCAACGCCGCGUGCGGGAUGACGGCCUUCGGGUUGUAAACCGCUUUCGCCUGUGACGAAGCGUGAGUGACGGUAAUGGGUAAAGAAGCACCGGCUAACUACGUG